CGGGAAGAAAGAACGGCUGCCAGGAAAGAGGAGCUGAAGCAGGAAAUGCAGCUCGUUGCCCAACUGGAAGAGCAGCUGCAGGCUGAGACAAAGGAGAUCAAGGAGAAGAAGGAGCAGGAGAGGAGACGUGGGCUCGCCUUCUGGAUGAAGACUGUCUGCCUCAUCUUUGUCAGCCUCCUGCUGCUGCUUGUUGCCGUGCUGGGCUCUGCAGUGCUGUAUGCCCAGCACUAUGACCAGGAGCUGUUGUAUCGGCUCCUGCUGCAAGUGCUGCCCCAGGCAAUGUACGCUUCCCUGGCGUACUUUGCGAGCAGGAGCCUGCGUGUGGUCUGUGAUGGGCUGCUGCCCAUCUGACCGCCCCUGUCAGUCCCCCCUCCCAGCUCGGGGCUGCGCAGUGGUGGG
ensembl:lncRNA